rnacentral:rRNA from 1 species
GACGAACGCUGGCGGCGUGCUUAACACAUGCAAGUCGAACGAUGAAGCCCAGCUUGCUGGGUGGAAGAGUGGCGAACGGGUGAGUAACACGUGAGUAACCUGCCCCUGACUCUGGGAUAAGCGCUAGAAAUGGCGUCUAAUACUGGAUAUGACCUAUCACCGCAUGGUGUGUAGGUGGAAAGAUUUAUCGGUUGGGGAUGGACUCGCGGCCUAUCAGCUUGUUGGUGAGGUAAUGGCUCACCAAGGCGACGACGGGUAGCCGGCCUGAGAGGGUGACGGGCCACACUGGGACUGAGACACGGCCCAGACUCCUACGGGAGGCAGCAGUGGGGAAUGUUGAACAAGGGGCGCAAGCCUGAUGCAGCAACGCCGCGUGGGGGAUGACGGCCUUCGGGUUGAAAACCUCUUUUGGUAGGGAAGAAGCGCAAGUGACGGUACCUGCAGAAAAAGCACCGGCUAACUACGUGCCAGCCGCCGCGGUAA